UGAGACGGGGAUAACCCGGGAAACUGGGUAUAUACCCGAUAGAUCUCGAUUGCUGGAAUGCAUCGAGCUUGAAAGCUCCGGCGCUCAAGGAUGGGUCUGCGGCCUAUCAGGUAGUAGUGGGUGUAGCGUACUACUAGCUACGACGGGUACGGGUUGUGAGAGCAAGAGCCCGGAGAUGGAUUCUGAGACACGAAUCCAGGCCCUACGGGGUGCAGCAGGCGCGAAAACUUUACAAUGCUGGAAACAGCGAUAAGGGGACCUCGAGUGCCAGGUUACAAAUCUGGCUGUCGUGAUGCCUAAAAAGCAUUGCAUAGCAAGGGCCGGGCAAGACCGGUGCCAGCCGCCGCGGUAACACCGGCGGCUCGAGUGGUAACCGUUAUUAUUGGGUCUAAAGGGUCUGUAGCCGGCCGGAUAAGUCUCUUGGGAAAUCUGGCAGCUUAACUGUCAGGCUUUCAGGAGAUACUGUCUGGCUCGAGGCCGGGAGAGGUGAGAGGUACUUCAGGGGUAGGGGUGAAAUCUUGUAAUCCUUGAAGGACCACCAGUGGCGAAGGCGUCUCACCAGAACGGACCUGACGGCAAGGGACGAAAGCUAGGGGCACGAACCGGAUUAGAUACCCGGGUAGUCCUAGCCGUAAACGAUACUCGCUAGGUGUCGGCAACGGUGCGACCGUUGUCGGUGCCGUAGGGAAGCCGUGGAGCGAGCCAC
rnacentral:rRNA from 1 species